AUGAACCUGGCAGCGACCCAAAGGAGCCUGGGUAUUCGAGACGCCGCGGGGAGGCNNNNNNNNNNNNNNNNNNNNNNNNNNNNNGACCCCGGCGCUAGGCCAGGGCGCAGAGCUGCGCGUGCGCAGAAGACCCGGCGGGCCGUUGCGCGGCAAGCUCUCUUGAGGCAGCGGUCUUCCGCCCCAAAAUUUACAGUGGAUGGUCAGACGUGGUGGCGCAUGCCUGUAAUCCCAGCACUCGAGAGGCUGAGGCAGGAGGAUUGCUGUGAGUUCGAGACCAUCCUGAGCUGCAUAGUGAGUUCCAGGUCAGUCUCAACUAUAUAGUGAGAUCCUAUCUCAAAAAAAAAAAAAAGAAAUUACAGUGGAAGCAGGGUUAAUGGAUCUAUACUACUUCAGUUACAAUCCAAAUUCAAACAUUGAUAACUGUGAGCAGUUUACUUCAACUCUCAGUACCUGUUUCUUGUCUAUCAAAUUUAGACUCUUUAUCUCACAGGCUUGGUGUGAGGAUUAAGCGAGGUAAUAUAUACAUAUGUAUAUAUUACAUAUGUAUAUAUAAGUAUACACUUAGAAUAGGGCAUAAAAAAAUUGUAUUCCAGCCAGGGAUUUAGUUCAGUGGUUCCGCCGCCUGUCUUGCAAACACAAGGACCCCAGUUCGAUCCCUGGUACCAAAAAAAAAAAAGUGUAUUCCAUAAGAAAACCAAGUUUCAGAGAAAUUAAGUAGGGAC
rnacentral:lncRNA from 1 species